GGGCCAGUAGUUCAACCCGGUAGAAUGUCCGCCUGGCUUGCGGAAGGCUGCGGGUUCAAAUCCCGCCUGGUCCA
rnacentral:tRNA from 1 species